GACGAACGCUGGCGGCGUGCCUAAUACAUGCAAGUCGAGCGGACUUUCAAGAAGCUUGCUUUUUGAAAGUUAGCGGCGGACGGGUGAGUAACACGUGGGCAACCUGCCUGCAAGACGGGGAUAACCCCGGGAAACCGGGGCCAAUACCGGAUAAUAUCUUCCUUCGCAUGAAGGAAGGUUGAAAUGCGGCGCAAGCUGCCGCUUGCAGAUGGGCCCGCGGCGCCUUAGCUAGUUGGUGAGGUAACGGCUCACCGAGGUGACGAUGCGUAGCCGACCGGAGGGGAUGAACGGCCGAACUGGGAGUGGGACACGGCCCAGACUCCUACGGAGGACAGCAGUAGGGAAUCUUCCGCAAUAGGCGAAAAUCUGACGAGGCAAAGCCGCGUGAGCGAGGAAGGUCUUCGGAUCGUAAAGCUCUGUUGUCAGGGAAGAACAAGUACCGUUCGAACAGGGCGGUACCUUGACGGUACCUGACCAGAAAGCAACGGCUAACUACGUG
rnacentral:rRNA from 1 species